UUCCAUCUCCAUAUACUGGUAAGCUUUUCAAGAAGAUGGAAUUGCACAAGCUAGCAGAUAUGCUACUGAGGAUUCAAUUAAGUCAUGGCUUAAUGAAUUACUUUGCUUGGAUGUUGCAAGUUACAUUCCAAAUAUCACUAUACUUCCACAUCCAAGUGAAUGUGCCCUUUACUAUGUCAACCGAGAUAUACUUUUCUAAUAUCACAAGGAGAGUGAGAUAUGUUUAUAGGUUUGUCUCUCCAUUGUGGAAUUCAAUGAUAUUUUUUCUCCUAAUAGAGAGAAGACUACACUUGAGCAUGA